rnacentral:rRNA from 1 species
GAUUCCCCCAGUAGCGGCGAGCGAACGGGGAGGAGCCCAGAGCCUGAAUCAGUGUGUGUGUUAGUGGAAGCGUCUGGAAAGGCGUGCGAUACAGGGUGACAGCCCCGUACACAAAAAUGCACAUACUGUGAGCUCGAUGAGUAGGGCGGGACACGUGGUAUCCUGUCUGAAUAUGGGGGGACCAUCCUCCAAGGCUAAAUACUCCUGACUGACCGAUAGUGAACCAGUACCGUGAGGGAAAGGCGAAAAGAACCCCGGCGAGGGGAGUGAAAAAGAACCUGAAACCGUGUACGUACAAGCAGUGGGAGCCUCUUUAUGGGGUGACUGCGUACCUUUUGUAUAAUGGGUCAGCGACUUAUAUUCUGUAGCAAGGUUAACCGAAUAGGGGAGCCGAAGGGAAACCGAGUCUUAACUGGGCGUUAAGUUGCAGGGUAUAGACCCGAAACCCGGUGAUCUAGCCAUGGGCAGGUUGAAGGUUGGGUAACACUAACUGGAGGACCGAACCGACUAAUGUUGAAAAAUUAGCGGAUGACUUGUGGCUGGGGGUGAAAGGCCAAUCAAACCGGGAGAUAGCUGGUUCUCCCCGAAAGCU